UACGAAGGGUGCUAGCGUUGUUCGGAAUUACUGGGCGUAAAGCGCGCGUAGGCGGCUAUCCAAGUCAGGGGUGAAAUCCUUGGGCUCAACCCAAGAAUUGCCUUUGAAACUGGAUAGCUAGAGUGUCGGAGGGGAUAGCGGAAUUCCUAAUGUAGAGGUGAAAUUCGUAGAUAUUAGGAGGAACACCGGUGGCGAAGGCGGCUAUCUGGACGACAACUGACGCUGAGGCGCGAAAGCAUGGGGAGCGAACAGG
rnacentral:rRNA from 1 species